rnacentral:lncRNA from 1 species
CUCAGGAGCAAUUAUCUACUUAAUGAAAACCUUCUGUCUUCAUCAGACUCAUUGGCGACACCAAGAGCCCAAACACUUUUUGAGGACUUUGGGGAAAGCAGGAAGGCCGGACAGCAGUACCUACAGGGGCCAAUGGAUCCAAGGAGAAGGCCCAGCGAAAGGAAGGACCCAGCAGCUCCCCCUUGCCAGCGCUGGAGACCCUGGCUCUGGGGCCCAGUCCCAGCCCUAGUCCAGCAGCGACGGACAGUGCAUCAGUCAAGGGCACUGCUCACCUCCCUCCGGACCCAACCGCCAUGAAGGCCAAAGCCGAGCCCCCAUGCAGGCCAGCUCACGUCCCAUUCUGCCAUGUCUCGGGCUGGAGCGAAUUGUAUUGAUAGAAAAUAAAAUGUCGACAUAAAAAAGAAU